rnacentral:rRNA from 1 species
UACAGAGGGUGCAAGCGUUAAUCGGAAUUACUGGGCGUAAAGCGUGCGUAGGUGGUUCUUUAAGUCAGGUGUGAAAUCCCUGGGCUCAACCUGGGAACUGCAUUUGAUACUGAAGAGCUAGAGUGUGGUAGAGGAUAGUGGAAUUCCCGGUGUGAGCGGUGAAAUGCGUAGAUAUCGGGAGGAACACCAGUGGCGAAGGCGGCUAUCUGGACCAACACUGACACUGAGGCACAAAAGCGUGGGUAGCAAACAGG